UCUGACCGUGACGUUCAAUACGUUGUAUGGCCUUUUUCUCUUGCUUUUCGGUCAGCAAAACAUUCGUUACUGGUUUCGCGCAGCAUUGAAAGACCUUCAAAGUGAAAAAGUCAAGCCCACCGCCCCCCCUGCCAUCAAACUGCAUGCAACAAACAGCGAGAGUCUGUUAAGGUAAAGGAAAAGAAAGUGGCAAACACACAUUCACAUCCACAACUUCACCCCAGCCAUUUCCAAUUCCCACCUGAGCUUCAUCUGAAAUCUAAGCUAAACUCAUCCGUGAUGCUACGUCUCCACCUUCGACAACCGGCCUAAUGUACAUUGGUGCGUUCCAAGUAUGGAAAACCAGCAGAGCAUUAUGUAAUCUAUAUUUCUCUACUUCUAUUUACGAAUGGUAACUCUGGAACGAAUGCAAUUUAAUGACCCAAAUUGCUGUGUCUAGUGUUUUUCAUCUUUAUUCUUUGUUUGUUCUCGGCUGUGGUAAUGAGGCCGCCAUUGUAGAUGUUGGUGGUACAUGUGUUGGAAGAUAGCGAAAAGCCGAGAUGGAGAUGGAGAUGGAGACGGAGCACGGCCAUGCCGUGCAUAAUGUUUGUGAAAGCUGAUCAAGCCGCGACUGUAAUUUUUGCUAUUGGCGAGUAUUCAAUAAUGCCAUUAGCUAAUGAUGAUAAUAAUGAUAUUUGAGGUAGAUCUAAAAACCUACAUAUAUGUAUGUACAUAUGUAUGUAUAUGUAUGUACAUGUGCUGUUUAUUUGUCUUUAGUUUGGUUUACAAUUAUUUAAAAUACUGUUUUUUUGCACUUAGCAAACAAUAAAGUCAUGAAGACCAAGUCACCUAACAUGAUAUUUUUUCAUUUAACUGAUGGUGAUGCUGCUUCUGCUUCUCCUUUGGCUUUUGUUGCUUUUCGGCAGACAUCAGGUGAAUGCCAAUCAAAGAAGUAGUCAAUCCGCUUUCUCCUCCGUCGAAAUUUUGAAAUUUCGUACCUUUGUGAAUAAAUGGUCAUCGACAAAUUUGCACUUCUUGGUGACUGGCAAGAGAGGCGAUCUGGACAUUAACUGUAGCUGGGUUAAUCUGGUCUAGUUGUGGCAAAACGGAGCACCAGUGCAAAAUCCGGUUUAACAACAUUGUGACAGGUGCAUUGACAGUGUUUUUACUUUAAGCUCUUUCCCAAAGUUGAGCUGGGCUGGCUGGUAAUAUAAGUACUUGGGUUUACCCUUACAAGACCGAAUCAAUUGGAAUACUAAA